rnacentral:rRNA from 1 species
UACGGAGGGUGCAAACGUUGCUCGGAAUCAUUGGGCGUAAAGCGCACGUAGGCGGCCUGUUAAGUCGGGUGUGAAAGCCCUGGGCUCAACCCAGGAAGUGCACUCGAAACUGUCAGGCUUGAAUAUGGAAGAGGGUCGCGGAAUUCCCGGUGUAGAGGUGAAAUUCGUAGAUAUCGGGAGGAACACCUGUGGCGAAAGCGGCUCACGUGGACCAUAACUGACGCUGAUGCACGAAAGCUGGGGGAGCAAACAGG